rnacentral:rRNA from 1 species
AGCUUGCUCCCUGAUGUUAGCGGCGGACGGSUGAGUAACACGUGGGUAACCUGCCUGUAAGACUGGGAUAACUCCGGGAAACCGGGGCUAAUACCGGAUGCUUGUUUGAACCGCAUGGUUCAAACAUAAAAGGUGGCUUCGGCUACCACUUACAGAUGGACCCGCGGCGCAUUAGCUAGUUGGUGAGGUAAUGGCUCACCAAGGCRACGAUGCGUAGCCGACCUGAGAGGGUGAUCGGCCACACUGGGACUGAGACACGGCCCAGACUCCUACGGGAGGCAGCAGUAGGGAAUCUUCCGCAAUGGACGAAAGUCUGACGGAGCAACGCCGCGUGAGUGAUGAAGGUUUUCGGAUCGUAAAGCUCUGUUGUUAGGGAAGAACAAGUACCGUUCGAAUAGGGCGGUACCUUGACGGUACCUAACCAGAAAGCCACGGCUAACUACGUGCCAGCAGCCGCGGUAAUACGUAGGUGGCAAGCGUUGUCCGGAAUUAUUGGGCGUAAAGGGCUCGCAGGCGGUUUCUUAAGUCUGA